rnacentral:miRNA from 1 species
AAUUGUUUUUGUUUGUGGAAACACCACGUAAAUUUAUUACUGCAGUAAUAAAUUUACGCGGUGUUUCCACAAACAAAAACAAUUAUAUUUU